UACAGAGGUCUCAAGCGUUGUUCGGAUUCAUUGGGCGUAAAGGGUGCGUAGGUGGCGAGGCAAGUCAGAUGUGAAAUCCCGGGGCUCAACCCCGGAACUGCAUUUGAAACUGCCUUGCUCGAGUACUGGAGAGGAGACUGGAAUUUACGGUGUAGCAGUGAAAUGCGUAGAUAUCGUAAGGAAGACCAGUGGCGAAGGCGAGUCUCUGGACAGUUACUGACACUGAGGCACGAAGGCCAGGGGAGCAACGGG
rnacentral:rRNA from 1 species